AUGUGGUAUAAAGCACCAUGUUCAAGUAGGGAUUACAGCGGGGUGCGGGAGAGUGGACCACGUAAAAGAGAUGAGGAUGGUGAUGAUGAUGGUGAUGUUGAUGAAGACGAUCACCGCGACGAUGAUUCCCCUCCCGAUGGCACUCCAGCGCCACCGGGAGAGAGAGGAGGAGAGGUUCUCCCCCUUGUGCUUCCUCCUCCAUGCCCCCUGGAUGGGGAGAGGUUCUCCCUAUGGUCCUUGGCCUUCAUGGUGAUGAUGGCCUCUCCGAGAUCCUCCUCCAUGCCCUCCGGUGAUGAUGGCCCCCUCAAGCAGGGUGCCACAGGGCCUAGAUUGAUUUCUCGUGGCUACAGAGGCUUGCGGCGGCGGAACUUCCGAUGUAGGUUAAUUUUUGGAGGUUUGGGUAUUUAUAGGAGAUGUUGGCAUCAAGAACAGGUCAGGGGGCCCCACGAGAAGUCCACGAGGCACAGGGGCGCCCCCAGGGGGUGGGCACCCCCCACCCUCGUUGGGCCUAGGGACUCCCCUCCGGUAGAUUUUUGUUCCAGUAUUUUUUAUAUUUUCCAGAAAAAUUCUCCGUUGAUUUUCAUCGCAUUCCGAGAAUUUUUAUUUCUGCACAGAAACAACACCACGGUAGUUCUACUGAAAACAACAUCAGUCCAGGUUAGUUCUAAUCAAAUCAUACCAAAAUCAUAUAAAACUAUUGUAAACAUGGCAUGA
rnacentral:rRNA from 1 species